GCUCCAGAUGCCAGUUAGAUCAGUUACUCCUCAAAGAACAGCAACAUCAGGGCAGCAGCAGAUCACACAGCAUGGAGCAACAUUCUGUAGAGCCUCAUUCCAGCUUCUGUUCUGAAUGAAGCUGCCAAACAGAAACUGGAAGUUGAACUUGAAGGGCAGUGGGACACGUCCAUCAUCAGCUACACCAAUCCCGCGGUAUCGAGAAUGGAGCAAAUGUCACCAGCAACUUGUCCUGGAUCAGCCAUAUGGAAGUAAUGGCCACAAAAGCACACCAACGCCUUAGAACACUUCCUUAGAAGGCUUAGGAACUUCGGCACAUCGCCAACAACUCUCAUCAACUUCUACAGAUGCGCCGUAGAAAGCAUUUUAUCAGGAUGCAUCACAGCAUGGUUUUGAAACAGCUCCAUCCAAGACCACAAGGAAUUGCAGAGAAUUGAAGACGCAGCCCAGAUCAUCACAUAAACCAACCUCCUUACCAUUGACUCCAGCUGCACUUCACACUGCAUCGGCAAGGCCACCAGCAUAAUCAAGGACAGAUCUCAUCCGAAAUUAACUUGGCAUCAAGUUUGACACAGACAUCAUGGGCCAACGGGCUUCUUCUGUGCUGCACUGUUCUAUAUUCUAUGUAUGUUCCAUGUACUGAAAUAAAGACUGUGGUAGAUAAUAUUUUUUUAAUUUGGACAUGACAGAGGCCAAAAUAGACAACAACGGGAUUAGUUUCCGAAGGAUCAAAGGCAAGCAGCAGAAGUACAAUAUGCAGAAAUUAUAGGUCAAACUAAAGGAGGUUCCUUUCAUGGGUCCUGCAUCCUACAACAUCUAUAUAUUACUAAAACUCUCAUCUUGUUUGUUUCUAUGUCUGUCUCUGUGUGAGUGUGCCCAUGUGCUCCCGGAACACGAUAGCGUUACAAUUUUUGGACCACCUUACUCACCAUUAUUCUGUGGUGUGUUUUUUUAAUCAAGUUUCAUUCAGAUUGAUGGCAUAUUUUACAGGUAUUCACAUUUUAAACUUUACAAAACCCCACUUUGAGAAAAAUCGCGUGAACUUGUAGUGGCAGUUAGCAGCUAUCAUGUCACAAUGGGAUCUCAUUUACAUAAACUGCCCAUCAGCAGUGCUCCACCCCACAAUGACAUCACAAAGGGAUCUCAUUUACAUUAAG